GACAUCUGAUCUCGAAAUUGAAUAAUGUUGUUCAUGUUCUGAAAGUACUUGGCAGUUUUACGGCUACUUCAAAAAAUUUAUCACCUUUUGAAAGCCUUGUAUUACUUAAGCUUUAUCAAGCACAAAAAGAUAGGCCAUGUUGUUUCCUUCACAAUAUUAAUUAUAAUGUUAAAUGUAUUAUAUAUCUAGAUGACUGUUAGGACUGAAGUUCGAGAGACACUGGGUCCAUUUUAUGCCACACAAGUAAACCCCAAUGUAUCCACACAUACAGUGUAAACAUGAACUCCUGGAGUUAUCAGGUUGCCGUUGCAGUUAACACUUUAGUUGUCUUUUUCUCUUUAUUUGCUUCAAGGACCACUGAGAGUAGUGCACUUAGUUACUUCCUGGUCCUCUUGUUGGUGGAAGUGUUACAUCAAAGAAUGUAAACAAAGGGGCUCGAUGAGAUGACUACAUGGUAUGAAUCUUCCACGAGUGAAUACCACAAGUUGCUUAUCUCCCUGUUGAAGAUACUGUGUCAGCAAAAUGGGAAAGUACUCGCACCUUUUGGGUCUGACUCAUCACAAGAGGAGAGGAUGAUCUGAAACUGGAUGCACACGCGCAUGGCACCUAAAACUAGGCAGAGGGUCAGCUUCAGUCCAGGGCACAGUGCAGUCAGCCAGCCAGACUUCCAAAGUUUUCGAUUUUGAUUUUGAUUUUGAUUUUGAUUUGCUUGCGGGAUUAUUGAGAGCAGUUUAAUUUUGAGCUGAGAAGAUGGCACCCAAUAUAUAUGUUCAGAUAAUUUACUUUA